ensembl:snRNA U6 U6 spliceosomal RNA
GUGCUCACUUCUGUAGCACAUACACCAAAAUUGGAACAAUACAGGGGACUGGCAUAGCUUCUGCACAAGGUUGACACCAAAAUCCAUGAGGCAUUUCAUAUGUUU